rnacentral:rRNA from 1 species
UUUCCGGUUGAUCCUGCCGGACCUGACUGCUAUCGGAUUGAUACUAAGCCAUGCGAGUCAUUGUAGCAAUACAAGGCAGACGGCUCAGUAACGCGUAGUCAACCUACCCUAUGGACGGGGAUAACCUCGGGAAACUGAGAAUAAUACCCGAUAGAACAUUAUGCCUGGAAUGGUUUAUGUUUCAAAUAAUUUAUUGCCGUAGGAUGGGACUGCGGCCUAUCAGUUUGUUGGUGAGGUAAUGGCCCACCAAGACUAUUACAGGUACGGGCUCUGAGAGGAGUAGCCCGGAGAUGGGUACUGAGACACGGACCCAGGCCCUAUGGGGCGCAGCAGGCGAGAAAACUUUGCAAUGUGCGAAAGCACGACAAGGUUAAUCCGAGUGGUUUCUGCUAAAGGAACCUUUUGUCGGUCCUAGAAACACCGAUGAAUAAGGGGUGGGCAAGUUCUGGUGUCAGCCGCCGCGGUAAAACCAGCACCUCAAGUGGUCAGGAUGAUUAUUGGGCCUAAAGCAUCCGUAGCCGGCGCUAUAAGUUUUCGGUUAAAUCUGUACGCUCAACGUACAGGCUGCCGGGAAUACUGUAGCGCUAGGGAGUGGGAGAGGUAGACGGUACUCGGUAGGAAGGGGUAAAAUCCUUUGAUCUAUUGAUGACCACCUGUGGCGAAGGCGGUCUACCAGAACACGUCCGACGGUGAGGGAUGAAAGCUGGGGGAGCAAACCGGAUUAGAUACCCGGGUAGUCCCAGCUGUAAACUAUGCAAACUCAGUGAUGCAUUGGCUUGAUGCCAAUGCAGUGCUGCAGGGAAGCCGUUAAGUUUGCCGCCUGGGAAGUACGUACGCAAGUAUGAAACUUAAAGGAAUUGGCGGGGGAGCAC